rnacentral:rRNA from 1 species
AUGAACAUAGUGCUCUGGAGGUUCGCACACAACUGUCUCCCAUCUGGACUUCAGUUACGCCAUCGGAAUAUCCCCACAAAUCCUGCUUGUGUGCAUUGUGGGAGAGACGAGAGUAUUGAGCAUUGUUUGUUGUUCUGUCAAUUUGCUUCCGAGGUUUGGAACAAGGUCAAAAAACGGUUCGACAUCCACCUAUGUCGCAAGAACUUCCACUCAACAAAACAGUGGCUAUUCGAUUUCAUUGACAGAGCAUCACCGGAGCAGUCCACUGUUUUGGCAAUCACUGUAUGGCAUUUUUGGGAAGCGAGGAAUGCGGUAAGGAAUGGUGAAGGUAAUAUCCAUCCACACAGCGUGUUGCCUCAAAGAUCCAUGCUUAUGUUGAUUUGGUUCUGCUGCAUCUCUUUAAGACUGUUGCGGGGCACAGUCAUGAGACACCCUCAAGUUCAUCGGUUAAAUGGUCUCCGCCGCCGCCCGGAUCAGUCCUUAUUAACGUCGACGCAGCUAUCUUCUCAAACCUGCACAAACUGGGAAUUGGCAUCCUGA